rnacentral:rRNA from 1 species
AAUAGAUACCCGGGUAGUCCACGCCGUAAACGAUGAGUGCUAAGUGUUAGAGGGUUUCCGCCCUUUAGUGCUGCAGCUAACGCAUUAAGCACUCCGCCUGGGGAGUACGGCCGCAAGGCUGAAACUCAAAGGAAUUGACGGGGGCCCGCACAAGCGGUGGAGCAUGUGGUUUAAUUCGAAGCAACGCGAAGAACCUUACCAGGUCUUGACAUCCUCUGACACUCCUAGAGAUAGGACUUUUCCCUUCGGGGAACAGAGUGACAGGUGGUGCAUGGUUGUCGUCAGCUCGUGUCGUGAGAUGUUGGGUUAAGUCCCGCAACGAGCGCAACCCUUGAUCUUAGUUGCCAGCAUUCAGUUGGGCACUCUAAGGUGACUGCCGGUGACAAACCGGAGGAAGGUGGGGAUGACGUCAAAUCAUCAUGCCCCUUAUGACCUGGGCUACACACGUGCUACAAUGGAUGGUACAAAGGGCUGCAAGACCGCGAGGUUUAGCCAAUCCCAUAAAACCAUUCUCAGUUCGGA